rnacentral:rRNA from 1 species
CGUACACUCCUGCGGGAGGCAGCAGUGGGGAAUAUUGGACAAUGGGCGCAAGCCUGAUCCAGCCAUGCCGCGUGAGUGAUGAAGGCCCUAGGGUUGUAAAGCUCUUUCACCGGUGAAGAUAAUGACGGUAACCGGAGAAGAAGCCCCGGCUAACUUCGUGCCAGCAGCCGCGGUAAUACGAAGGGGGCUAGCGUUGUUCGGAUUUACUGGGCGUAAAGCGCACGUAGGCGGACUAUUAAGUCAGGGGUGAAAUCCCGGGGCUCAACCCCGGAACUGCCUUUGAUACUGGUAGUCUUGAGUUCGAGAGAGGUGAGUGGUAUUCCGAGUGUAGAGGUGAAAUUCGUAGAUAUUCGGAGGAACACCAGUGGCGAAGGCGGCUCACUGGCUCGAUACUGACGCUGAGGUGCGAAAGCGUGGGGAGCAAACAGGAUUAGAAACCCCGGUAGUCCCA